CAAGAGUUUGACAAAACUCCGUAAACCCACUGUGAACCUACCUGUUUCGUUGCUUCGGCAGGCGGCCCCAGGGCGGGGCCUCCGCUUGUGUUACAGGCGCCUGCCGAAGGUAUCUCAAAUUCGUGUUGUAUUAUGUCUUCUGAGUUAUACAAGCAAAUCGUUAA
rnacentral:misc_RNA from 1 species